rnacentral:rRNA from 1 species
GAGGGGCAGCAUGAAGUUUGCUUGCAAACUUUGAUGGCGACCGGCGCACGGGUGAGUAACGCGUAUCCAACCUUCCCUAUAGUAGAGAAUAGCCCGGCGAAAGUCGGAUUAAUGCUCUAUGUUAUUCAAAGCGGACAUCUAAUUUGAAUCAAAGGUUCACCGCUAUAGGAUGGGGAUGCGUCUGAUUAGCUUGAUGGCGGGGUAACGGCCCACCAUGGCGACGAUCAGUAGGGGUUCUGAGAGGAAGGUCCCCCACAUUGGAACUGAGACACGAUCCAAACUCCUACGGGAGGCAGCAGUGAGGAAUAUUGGUCAAUGGGCGAGAGCCUGAACCAGCCAAGUAGCGUGCAGGAUGACGGCCCUAUGGGUUGUAAACUGCUUUUAUGCGGGGAUAAAGUCGGCUACGCGUAGCCGUUUGUAGGUACCGCAUGAAUAAGGACCGGCUAAUUCCGUGCCAGCAGCCGCGGUAAUACGGAAGGUCCGGGCGUUAUCCGGAUUUAUUGGGUUUAAAGGGAGCGCAGGCCGGAGGUCAAGCGUGACGUGAAAUGUAGGGGCUCAACCUUUGAAUUGCGUCGCGAACUGGUUUCCUUGAGUGAGUACGACGUCAGCGGAAUUCGUGGUGUAGCGGUGAAAUGCUUAGAUAUCACGAAGAACCCCGAUUGCGAAGGCAGCUGACGAGUCCUUUACUGACGCUAAAGCUCGAAGGUGCGGGUAUCGAACAGGAUUAGAUACCCUGGUAGUCCGCACGGUAAACGAUGGAUGCCCGCUGUUUGCGAUAUAUUGUAAGCGGCCAAGCGAAAGCGUUAAGCAUCCCACCUGGGGAGUACGCCGGCAACGGUGAAACUCAAAGGAAUUGACGGGGGCCCGCACAAGCGGAGGAACAUGUGGUUUAAUUCGAUGAUACGCGAGGAACCUUACCCGGGCUUGAACUGCAGGAGAACGAUCCAGAGAUGGUGAGGCCCUUCGGGGCUCCUGUGGAGGUGCUGCAUGGUUGUCGUCAGCUCGUGCCGUGAGGUGUCGGCUUAAGUGCCAUAACGAGCGCAACCCCUUUCGCCAGUUGCCAUCAGGUGAUGCUGGGCACUC